UGGCAUGAAUUACAUGAAAAAGCUUCGCGCCAAGCAGUUAGGAUUGCUGCUAGGUUCACAAACAUUCAUCCGGGGCUAGCAUAUUAUGGUUUCCUGGAGUAUAAACAGAGCACACACGUUUAUCUCAAGUUCGUGAAAGAUCUCGACUCUGUGUUUUUUGAGAUAUGGAAGCUGGUCAAUGCUCAGAUGUGUUUCAGAAAUGCUCUGAAGCAUGUUUAUGAGGAGAAGCAGUUUCCAUUACGCAAACAUGAUUUGGAAUACGUGCUGAGUCACCCUGGCUCGUUGGGACCGG